AUGUCGAGUCUACUACUCUACUUGUUGACAAUUUCCUCAGAAACGGCAAUUUCUUCUCUUUUUUUAGGAAAGAAGAAACUUUUGGGGGCAAAAAAUUGCAAGAUUUGCCAUCUCCUACUAGGUAAAGUAACAAAAAACAAACCCCAAGAUUUGCCGUUCUGGGACCACAUCCUCGGGUACUGGCGCGCGAGCGAGUCGGGCCCGGAGAACGUGCUCUUCUUGAGGUACGAGGAGCUGCUGCGGGACCCCGCCGAGAACGUCAGAAAGCUCGCGCGGUUCGUUAGCAUGCCGUUCUCCCAGGCGGAGGAGGAGGCCGGCGUCGUCCGCGGCAUCGUCGAGCUCUGCAGCCUCGAGAGCCUGAAGAACCAGGAGGUGAACAGGAAUGGGUACAUGGACGGCCUCAAGUUCCCUCGCAAGGCCCUCUUCCGGAAGGGCGUGGCCGGCGACUGGGUGAACCACAUGACGCCGGAGAUGGCGCGCCGCAUGGACGAGAUCGUCGCCGACAAGCUCCGCGCCACGGGGCUCACAUUCCAGUGA
rnacentral:rRNA from 1 species